rnacentral:rRNA from 1 species
GGGGCGGCUACACAUGCAGUCGAGCGGUAACAGAUCCAGCUUGCUGGAUGCUGACGAGCGGCGGACGGGUGAGUAAUGCAUAGGAAUCUGCCCGAUAGUGGGGGAUAACCUGGGGAAACCCAGGCUAAUACCGCAUACGUCCUACGGGAGAAAGGGGGCUCCGGCUCCCGCUAUGGGAUGAGCCUAUGUCGGAUUAGCUAGUUGGUGAGGUAACGGCUCACCAAGGCCACGAUCCGUAGCUGGUCUGAGAGGAUGAUCAGCCACAUCGGGACUGAGACACGGCCCGAACUCCUACGGGAGGCAGCAGUGGGGAAUAUUGGACAAUGGGGGAAACCCUGAUCCAGCCAUGCCGCGUGUGUGAAGAAGGCCCUCGGGUUGUAAAGCACUUUCAGCGAGGAAGAACGCCUAGCGGUUAAUACCCGCUAGGAAAGACAUCACUCGCAGAAGAAGCACCGGCUAACUCCGUGCCAGCAGCCGCGGUAAUACGGAGGGUGCAAGCGUUAAUCGGAAUUACUGGGCGUAAAGCGCGCGUAGGUGGCUUGAUAAGCCGGUUGUGAAAGCCCCGGGCUCAACCUGGGAACGGCAUCCGGAACUGUCAAGCUAGAGUGCAGGAGAGGAAGGUAGAAUUCCCGGUGUAGCGGUGAAAUGCGUAGAGAUCGGGAGGAAUACCAGUGGCGAAGGCGGCCUUCUGGACUGACACUGACACUGAGGUGCGAAAGCGUGGGUAGCAAACAGGAUUAGAUACCCUGGUAGUCCACGCCGUAAACGAUGUCGACCAGCCGUUGGGUGCCUAGCGCACUUUGUGGCGAAGUUAACGCGAUAAGUCGACCGCCUGGGGAGUACGGCCGCAAGGUUAAAACUCAAAUGAAUUGACGGGGGCCCGCACAAGCGGUGGAGCAUGUGGUUUAAUUCGAUGCAACGCGAAGAACCUUACCUACUCUUGACAUCCUGCGAAUUUGGUAGAGAUACCUUAGUGCCUUCGGGAACGCAAAGACAGGUGCUGCAUGGCUGUCGUCAGCUCGUGUUG